CAUACUUUGGUAUUGUUAUUUUCUCUUUUGUUGUUGUGCUGCAUUUCCAGCGUAGUCGUAACUGCAGUCCCGUUAGAGGCUGUUCAGGGCGCGGUGUGCGACUGGAGGUGUGGUGAUUGUUUAGGUCCAUGGGGACCUGGUUUUAGUGGUAUAUGAUUACCUUGUUGAGUUGACCAAUGAUGGUCUGUUAUGAAAGUGGCAAAUGGUUGCCAAUGUUGACUUAUAACCGAGUAUUUAUGUGCCCGUGUAUGUGUGUGUAUAAUGAACAGUCUAAGAUACUUUUUGUUUUUUUUUUAUCAUUAGUUGUUGAUUGAGGCAUUCUUUCAAAUUGUUUACUCUGUGUGGUGAUGCACUCUGGAAAUCCACUUGAUGGAUAUGCGUACUGAAGUCUUAUGUAGAGUCACAAGUAGAGCUCAUGUAGAGUCACAAGUAGAUCUCAUGUAGAGUCACAAGUAGAGCUCAUGUAGAGUCACAAGUAGAGCUCAUGUAGAGUCACAAGUAGAGCUCAUGUAGAGUCACAAGUAGAGCUUAUGUAGAGUCACAAGUAGAGCUUAUGUAGAGUCACAAAUAGAGCUCAUGUAGAGUCACAAAUAGAGCUCGGACGAGUCCUUUAUAGAGUCUCAUGUCAGGUCAGGAAUGACCGAGCGAACUUGGAUACUGUGCUGUGGUAUAUUGUUUCAGAUUAACACACGAGGACGUGUGUCACGCAGGAUGGCCGUGUCGGCGUUAGUUAUGAAUUAAGAAGAGAAAUUGAUCAAAUCGGAAAAUAAAAUGAAGUUACAUCACUUCCGUUAUGAAGUUGCAACGCUCCGACGAAAGGUGGCGUACGGCCAGAGCUGAGUGAAGUCGACAGAGUCACUACGGAGCCGUCGUGUCGAGCGGACGUGCACUGCCGUUCUAGUCGAGCAGUCUACCGCGAACCUUCGUCGUGAACGGACUUGUCGAGUAAUUACGAUCGGAACGUGGAGUGCUAUAGUCACUCACCUAUAACUUGUAGGGACGUCAAGAAAGUGUGAUCGGAAAAGAGUACCUAGCAAGUACGUUCACAUGUCCCGAUGAUUCGGUCCGAAUAUAGGAACCAUGGGUGGUGGAGGGCAAAUAGAGGGCGAGUAGCCCCUUCGCGCUAACGUCCUUAUGCGCGCUAGAUAACGAGAGACUGUGUAACCGUUACGAAUACCGUGACGUUGCCGUGAGUGUGUACCUUAUGCUGUGACUUUAUUUAAUCGUGAUACAAAAACUAUGUGGAAGUAAAUAAAAUGAUUGUGAUACUGA